AACGAACGCUGGCGGCAGGCCUAACACAUGCAAGUCGAGCGCCCAGCAAUGGGAGCGGCGGACGGGUGAGUAACGCGUGGGAAUUUUUCCUGGAGUACGGAACAACCGAGGGAAACUUCGGCUAAUACCGUAUGAUGUCUAGCGACCAAAGAUUUAUCGCUCUGGGGUAAGCCCGCGUCAGAUUAGGUAGUUGGUGGGGUAACGGCCUACCAAGCCUGCGAUCUGUAGCUGGUCUGAGAGGACGAUCAGCCACACUGGGACUGAGACACGGCCCAGACUCCUACGGGAGGCAGCAGUGGGGAAUCUUGCGCAAUGGGCGAAAGCCUGACGCAGCCAUGCCGCGUGAGUGAAGAAGGUCUUAGGAUUGUAAAGCUCUUUCGCUCGUGACGAUGAUGACGGUAACGAGAGAAGAAG
rnacentral:rRNA from 1 species